rfam:Tetrahymena thermophila SB210 genomic scaffold scf_8254803, whole genome shotgun sequence.
GCUCGGUUAGCUCAGCUGGUUAGAGCAUGCGGCUGUUAACCGCAAGGUCGAAGGUUCGAUCCCUUCACCGAGCG